GUUCAGAUUGCAGUCUGCAACUCGACUGCAUGAAGUCGGAAUCGCUAGUAAUCGCGGAUCAGCAUGCCGCGGUGAAUACGUUCCCGGGCCUUGUACACACCGCCCGUCACACCAUGAGAGUCGGGAACACCCGAAGUCCGUAGCCUAACCGCAAGGGGGGCGCGGCCGAAGGUGGGUUCGAUAAUUGGGGUGAAGUCGUAACAAGGUAGC
rnacentral:rRNA from 1 species